rnacentral:rRNA from 1 species
GCAAGUAGAACGCCCAGGAUGCCCCGUAGUUACUACACCGUAUUCUGUGAGUUGCGAACGGGUGAGUAACGCGUAGGUAACCUGCCUGGUAGCGGGGGAUAACUAUUGGAAACGAUAGCUAAUACCGCAUAAGAACAUUUACUGCAUGGUAGAUGUUUAAAAGGUGCAAAAGCAUCACUACCAGAUGGACCUGCGUUGUAUUAGCUAGUUGGUGAGGUAACGGCUCACCAAGGCAACGAUACAUAGCCGACCUGAGAGGGUGAUCGGCCACACUGGGACUGAGACACGGCCCAGACUCCUACGGGAGGCAGCAGUAGGGAAUCUUCGGCAAUGGGGGGAACCCUGACCGAGCAACGCCGCGUGAGUGAAGAAGGUUUUCGGAUCGUAAAGCUCUGUUGUUAAGGAAGAACGUGUGUGAGAGUGGAAAGUUCACACAGUGACGGUACUUAACCAGAAAGGGACGGCUAACUACGUGCCAGCAGCCGCGGUAAUACGUAGGUCCCGAGCGUUGUCCGGAUUUAUUGGGCGUAAAGCGAGCGCAGGCGGUUAGAUAAGUCUGAAGUGAAAGGCAGUGGCUCAACCAUUGUAGGCUUUGGAAACUGUUUAACUUGAGUGCAGAAGGGGAGAGUGGAAUUCCAUGUGUAGCGGUGAAAUGCGUAGAUAUAUGGAGGAACACCGGUGGCGAAAGCGGCUCUCUGGUCUGUAACUGACGCUGAGGCUCGAAAGCGUGGGGAGCGAACAGGAUUAGAUACCCUGGUAGUCCACGCCGUAAACGAUGAGUGCUAGGUGUUAGGUCCUUUCCGGGAC